rnacentral:rRNA from 1 species
AGAGUUUGAUCCUGGCUCAGAUUGAACGCUGGCGGAAUGCUUUACACAUGCAAGUCGAACGGCAGCACGGGGGCAACCCUGGUGGCGAGUGGCGAACGGGUGAGUAAUACAUCGGAACGUGCCCAGUCGUGGGGGAUAACGUAGCGAAAGCUACGCUAAUACCGCAUACGAACUCUGGUUGAAAGCGGGGGAUCGCAAGACCUCGCGCGAUUGGAGCGGCCGAUGGCAGAUUAGGUAGUUGGUGGGGUAAAGGCCUACCAAGCCGACGAUCUGUAGCUGGUCUGAGAGGACGACCAGCCACACUGGGACUGAGACACGGCCCAGACUCCUACGGGAGGCAGCAGUGGGGAAUUUUGGACAAUGGGCGCAAGCCUGAUCCAGCCAUUCCGCGUGCAGGAUGAAGGCCCUCGGGUUGUAAACUGCUUUUGUACGGAACGAAAAAGCCUGGGCUAAUACCCCGGGUCCAUGACGGUACCGUAAGAAUAAGCACCGGCUAACUACGUGCCAGCAGCCGCGGUAAUACGUAGGGUGCAAGCGUUAAUCGGAAUUACUGGGCGUAAAGCGUGCGCAGGCGGUGAUGUAAGACAGGUGUGAAAUCCCCGGGCUUAACCUGGGAACUGCAUUUGUGACUGCAUCGCUGGAGUGCGGCAGAGGGGGAUGGAAUUCCGCGUGUAGCAGUGAAAUGCGUAGAUAUGCGGAGGAACACCGAUGGCGAAAGCAAUCCCCUGGGCCUGCACUGACGCUCAUGCACGAAAGCGUGGGGAGCAAACAGGAUUAGAUACCCUGGUAGUCCACGCCCUAAACGAUGUCAACUGGUUGUUGGGUCUUCACUGACUCAGUAACGAAGCUAACGCGUGAAGUUGACCGCCU